AAUGCCUCUCGAAUAACCAGAUGGUUAGAGUAUAAUACAACGCCGUUUGGUUCAGACAGGGGCUCACAUCAAAACUCGAAACAAUUUAUUGUCAAGGAACGAUUUUCUUCCGCUCCUUUUUCCUAGAUUGUUCUCGUAUAUUC